rnacentral:rRNA from 2 species
CACGCUGUAAACGAUGAAUACUAGGUGUCGGGUGGCAAAGCCAUUCGGUGCCGCAGCUAACGCAAUAAGUAUUCCACCUGGGGAGUACGUUCGCAAGAAUGAAACUCAAAGGAAUUGACGGGGACCCGCACAAGCGGUGGAGCAUGUGGUUUAAUUCGACGCAACGCGAAGAACCUUACCAAGUCUUGACAUCCUUUUGACCGGUCGGUAAUGCGACCUUCUCUUCGGAGCAAAAGUGACAGGUGG